UGACAUUAAAAAGCAAUUGCCACCAAUGCAUAUGUACUGACUCAACAUCUUCUUUGGAUUUAACCAAUAGACACAGAUAAGUCUUCUGGAACCAUCUGUCUCACAGCAGAGUGUAGGAGGAGCAGAGUUCUUUCUGGAAGCCAAUCCUAGACUACUACCUGAAGGCAGCUGGAGUUUGAAUUCAAAUCUGCACCAAUUAAGUUUCCCUAUUUUCUGAAGAGCUGGACAAUUAUAAGCUUCUCUGCCAUCUAACCUCAAGCAAUUUCAGGUCUUGAAUUUCUUGCAUCUACCAAACAGAGCUAACAAGUGACAAUCUAUAGAUGAUUUUUGCCUCCCCAGAAUUGACAGUUGAAAGCACUCAGCAAGUUCCUUUGAAUACAUACUGUCAUCUAUCCCAACUGUGAGAAAACCACAGCAGAGUAUUCUUUCAAAUCUCAUUCCUAUAGAAUCAAAGCCACCAAGUGGUAAAUGUCAUCAACUCAGCUACAUAUCAACAGAGGAAGAAGAGAAAACCACUACUAAACAACAGAGGCUAUUUCUACUUUGUGAAAGAGUGGCCUGCAGUGCGAACUUCAAGCAACGUGAGAGAGGCACCAUUCCAAGCAAGGCAGAACAUUUCCAGGCACUGGAGAGUCCAAACAAGUCUUCUAGCUUAUAAGAUGCAUGAUUAUCUCUGAGAUGGGAACAAGAUCAACAGGCCAACUGCUCCUUUUUAAUUUUUAUCUCCUGUCAUUU